rnacentral:rRNA from 1 species
AUUGCAGUCUGCAACUCGACUGCAUGAAGUCGGAAUCGCUAGUAAUCGCGGAUCAGCAUGCCGCGGUGAAUACGUUCCCGGGCCUUGUACACACCGCCCGUCACACCAUGAGAGUCGGGAACACCCGAAGUCCGUAGCCUAACUGCAAAGGGGGCGCGGCCGAAGGUGGGUUCGAUAAUUGGGGUGAAGUCGUAACAAGGUAUC